ACAUGCGACCAUAGGACGUUGAAAACAAGGUUUCCCGUCCGCUCAGCUCUAUUCAAGCAACGUACCGGCUGAUUAGUAGUAUUGUGGAUGGCCAGAUGCGAAUCCCGGAUGUUGUAUGUU
rnacentral:rRNA from 1 species